rnacentral:rRNA from 1 species
UACGUAGGUGGCAAGCGUUACUCGGAUUUACUAGGCGUAAAGCGCAUGUAGGCGGUUGGAUAAGUUUGUGGUGAAAUCUCCUGGCUUAACUGGGAGGGGUCCACAAAAACUAUUCGGCUUGAGUGUGGGAAGGGGAGACGGAAUUCUCGGUGUAGCGGUGAAAUGCGUAGAUAUCGAGAGGAACACCUAUGGCGAAAGCGGUCUCCUGGCCCAAUACUGACGCUGAGAUGCGAAAGCUAGGGGAG